rnacentral:rRNA from 1 species
CCUACGGGAGGCAGCAGUGAGGAAUAUUGGUCAAUGGACGAGAGUCUGAACCAGCCAAGUAGCGUGAAGGAUGAAUGCCCUAUGGGUUGUAAACUUCUUUUAUAUGGGAAUAAAAUGUUCCACGUGUGGGAUUUUGUAUGUACCAUAUGAAUAAGGAUCGGCUAACUCCGUGCCAGCAGCCGCGGUAAUACGGAGGAUCCGAGCGUUAUCCGGAUUUAUUGGGUUUAAAGGGAGCGUAGGUGGAUUGUUAAGUCAGUUGUGAAAGUUUGCGGCUCAACCGUAAAAUUGCAGUUGAAACUGGCAGUCUUGAGUACAGAAGAGGUGGGCGGAAUUCGUGGUGUAGCGGUGAAAUGCUUAGAUAUAUCGAAGAACUCCGAUUGCGAAGGCAGUUCACUGGACUGCAACUGACACUGAGGCUCGAAAGUGUGGGUAUCAAACAGGAUUAGAUACCCGGGUAGUC